UAAAUGGGGACCUAAAUGGGGUCCUGAGUGCCCCAGGGGGAGGGUCUCUGUGCUGGGAUAGGGGGAGGGGGCUUGGCACUGUAAAUGGGGCCCUAAAUGAGGCCUUAAAUGCCCCAGGGAGUGGGUUCAGGGGAGUGUCCUUGUGCUAGGAUAUGGGGAGGGGGCCUGACCCCAUAAAUGGCCCCCUAAGUGUCACUCUAAAUGCCCCAGGGGGUGGGUUCAGGGGGUUGUUCCUGUGUGGGGAUGGAGGACGGGGUCUGGACACCAUAAAUGUGGCCCUAAAUGUCACCCUAAAUGACCCAGGGAGAGGGUCUCUGUGCUGGGAUAUGGGGAGGGGGCUUGGCACCGUAAAUGGGGUCCUAAAUGUGGCCCUAAGUGGCACAGGGGGUAGCACAGGGGAAUAUCUCCCAUGUUGGGGGAGGGAGCAGGGUCCUGACCCCAUAAACGUGGCCCUAAGUGUCACCCUAAGUGCCCCAGGAGGUGGGGGUGGGGGGUUGUCUCGGUGUUGGGGUUGGGGAUGGGGUCCUGACACCCUAAAUGUGGUCCUAAAUGUCACCUUAAAUGCCCCAGGGGGAGGGUCUCUGUGCUGGGGUAUGGGGAGGGGGCUUGGCACCAUAAAUGGGGCCCUAAAUGUGGCCCUAAGUGGCACAGGGGGUGGCAUCAGGGGAAUGUCCAUGUGUUGGGAUAUGGGGAGGGGGCCAGAUCCCAUAAAUGGCACCUUAAGUGUCACCCUAAAUGCCCCAGGGGGUGGGUUCAGGGGGUUGUCCAUGUGUUGGGACAGGGAAUGGGGUCCUGGCACCCUAAAAGUCCCCCUAAAUGUCCCCAUAAGCACCCCAGGAGGUGCAUGCAGGGUAUGCCCCCAUUUGGGGACAGGAUAUAGGGUCCUGCCACCCUAAACGUCCCCAAAAGUGCCCCAGGAGGUGGGUGCAAGGCAUUAUACCCCUGCUGGGUCAGGGAAUGGGCUCCUGUCACCCUAAAAGUCCCCCAUAUGUCCCCAGAAGUGCUCCAGGAGGUGGGUGCAGGGGGUUGUCCCCGUGUUGGGACAGGGAACGGGGUCCUGCCACCCUAAAAGUCCCUAUAAAUGUCCCCAUAAGUGCCACAGGGGGCGUAUACAGGGGAUUGUCCCCAUACUAGAAUAGGGAACGGGCUCCUGCCACCCUAAAUGUCCCCCUAAACAUCCCCAAAAGUGCUCCAGGAGGUGGGUGCAGGGGGUUUUCCCUGUGUUGGGACAGGGAAUGGGGUCCUGGCACCCUAAAAGUCCCCCUAAGUGUCCCCAAAAGUGCCCCAGGAGGUGCGUGCAGGGGAUGCCCCCAAAUUGGGACAGGUUCUGGGCUCCUGCCACCCUAAACCCCGCAGCAGCUCCCUGGGGCUGGGGACACCCCCGUCCUUGUGCGUGGGACCCACCCGUGUCCCCCCCCCCGUCCCCUUGUCCCCCCCCUUGUCCCCGUGUCCCCGCAGGAGGCCAUCAUGGACGGGACGGAGAUCGCGGUGUCGCCGCGCAGCCUGCACAGCGAGCUGAUGUGCCCCAUCUGCCUGGACAUGCUGAAGAACACCAUGACCACCAAGGAGUGCCUGCACCGCUUCUGCUCCGACUGCAUCGUCACCGCCCUGCGCAGCGGGUACGGGGGCUGGGGGGGGGCAGAAAACCCACCACGAGGGGCAAAAAUCCACUUCAGGGGAGAAAAAAACCACCACGGGGGGCAUAAACCCACCGCAGGAGGGAUAAAAUCCCCUGCAGGAGGGGUAAAACCCACCGGGGGGAGAGUAAAACCCACAGCAGGGGGGUUAAACCCACUGUGGGGGGCAUAAAAUCCACCACAAGGGCGAUAAAACCCGCCACGGGGGGAGUAAAACCCACCACAGGGGGGUAAAAUCCACUGCAGGGGGUAUAAAACC
rnacentral:lncRNA from 1 species